GGCGCGCACGUAAGUUGCUGCCGCCGGCUGACUUCCGGUGGCCCCGACUCCGAGUUUCCGCGGGAUCAGUCGCUGGUGGGGGGACCGUGUCCCGUGCCGUGAGGCGGGAAGUGGCGAGUGGGAGCUGCACGUCCGGGCGCGGGAUGUCCAGGCUGCGGGGGUCGGGUUUGAGGGCUGGCGCGGGGUGUGGGACAGAAGGUAGAGGUCCGAGGGGGUCUAGCCGGGCGCGGGGACUUGGGCCAGUGCUCGGCCCCUGGUAAAAAGCGCAGUCAGGCCCCCCUUUUGGAAAAUAUCCCCAGGAGGGGCUCGCGCGGGGGCUACCUUCGGAUUUGCAUUCGUUCACCCUGUUGGUCCCACUCCAGUUCCUAAAAGACGGAAAAUAAAAUAAAAAAGAACUUCAUUUUGCAGUCCUGUAGUCCAAACAUUCAUCUAGUGCCCUGGUGGAUGGGCAUUCAGACUUGAACAUUAUCAGUGAUGAAGAACUCACUGUAACACAAGGAUGGAACGAAAGUAGGACUUUUAAAAUGUUGCCCAGCAAGAAGAGAAGAACUUCAGAGACUGAGUUCCCACAGCAUCAGGGCAACCUGGAGGAAGAGGACUUAGACCUAGAGUCAGCUGUUCAACCAGAAUCUGACCAGGUUAAAGACUUGGGGUCAGUGUCACUGGCCUGGGGUCGAAGUCAUGGUAGUGCAGCUGGUCUGGAAGUUGAAUCUGUGCAGGAUGCAGGAAAUCAGCUUGGUGUGGAAGAUCCAUCUUUGAGUUCCAGGGUACUCACCCAGGACACAAAUGCAGCAGUUCUAGAAGCUGUUAAUGUGGCCAUCUCAACGGGAAUCGCCCUACCUUCCUUGGAGUCUUCCCAGCCCCUUAACAUACACAUUGAUAAAGAAAAACUCCUUGCCAUUGGUUCAAAGAGAGGGAAGAAAAUGACACUCAGGCCCAAGCCAGACGAAGGUGAUCAUCUUAUCACAAAGGAGCCUUUUUCAGGAGAGCCUAGUGAAGAAGUCAAGGAAGAGGGAGGAAAACCUCAGAUGCAUUCUGGAGAAGAGAUGCCUUUAUUGCCAUCAGGCAGCCACUCUGUAAAACUAGGAGCCCAGCCUAGGAAAUCAUCUCAGCCAGAUGCCUGUGCCUCUCCUCAAGGAAAGCCAUUCAGGACUUCAGAUCACCAAGCUGAGGAAGAGAUAGAGGAUGAUGGACUCUUUAUUCCAAUGGAAGAGCAAGACAGUGAAGAAAGUGAGAAAAGGCAGAAAAAGAAAAAGGGUACCAAGAGGAAACGAGAUGGAAGGGGUCAAGAAGAAGGGACUUUGGCUUAUGACCCAAAACUGGAUGAUAGGCUGGACCGUACCUUAGAGGAUGGCGCCAAGCAGCACAACCUGACAGCAGUCAAUGUGCGAAACAUCCUUCACGAAGUAAUCACAAAUGAACAUGUGGUAGCGAUGAUGAAAGCAGCCAUCAGUGAGACUGAAGAUAUGCCAAUGUUUGAACCCAAAAUGACACGCUCUAAACUUAAGGAAGUGGUGGAGAAAGGAGUGGUAAUUCCAACAUGGAAUAUUUCACCAAUUAAGAAGGCCAAUGAGAUUAAGCCUCCUCAGUUUGUGGAUAUCAACCUCGAAGAAGAUGAUUCCUCAGAUGAAGAGUACCAGCCAGAUGAUGAAGAAGAAGAUGAGACUGCUGAAGAGGUCAGUGGUGACCCUAGUUUGUUGGAAAGUGAUGUUGAAAGCACUGCUUCAUCUCCACGUGGGGCAAAGAAAUCCAGACUGAGACAGUCUUCUGAGAUGAAUGAAACAGAUGAAGAGAAUGGCAUAUUAUCAGAGGCUGAGAAAAUUGCCACACCUGCCAUCAGGCACAUCAGUGCUGAGGUCGUACCCAUGGGGCCUCCACCCCCCCCAAAGCCCAAACAGACCAGAGAUAGUACUUUCAUGGAGAAGUUGCAUGCUGUGGAUGAGGAACUGGCAUCUAGUCCAGUCUGCAUGGAUUCUUUCCAGCCAAUGGAUGACAGUCUCAUUGCGUUCCGAACCCGCUCUAAGAGGCCUCUGAAAGAUGUUCCCCUGGGACAACUAGAGGCAGAGCUUCAAGCUCCAGACAUCACCCCAGACAUGUAUGACCCCAAUACAGCAGAUGAUGAGGAAUGGAAGCUGUGGCUUGGGGGACUCAUGAAUGACGAUGUGGGGAAUGAAGAUGAGGCGGAUGAUGAUGACGAUCCAGAAUAUAAUUUCCUGGAAGACCGUGACGAACCAGACACAGAGGAUUUCCGCACCGACCGGGCAGUGAGAAUCACCAAAAAGGAAGUGAAUGGAUUGAUGGAAGAACUGUUUGAAACUGGUAAUAGUGGAGUCAUCCCAUGUGCAGGACUGUGGAAGUCCUCAAGUGAGAAAAAUACUCUGAUGCAAGCUCUUUCUGAGUGCCAGCAUUAUCCUUUCCAAGAUGAGAUGGGAUUCCCCAGCAUGGAAGAUGAUGGCCCGGAGGAGGAGGAGCGUGUGGCUGAGCCUCGACCUAACUUUAAUACUCCUCAAGCCCUACGGUUUGAGGAACCACUGGCCAACUUGCUAAAUGAGCAGCAUCGUACAAUGAAGGAGCUCCUUGAGCAGCUGAAGUUGAGGAAAGCUUCAGCCAAACAGCAGCAGGAAGUAGAAAAGGUUAAGCCCCAGACCGAGAAAGUUCCUCAGACUCUGAUUCUAGACCCAGCCCAGAGGAAGAGACUCCAGCAGCAGAUGCAGCAGCAUGUUCAGCUCUUGACGCAAAUUCACCUUCUCUCCACCUCCAACCCCAAUCUCAACUCGGAGGCCAGUACUACCAGGAUAUUUCUUGAAGAGCUGGGAACCUUUGCUCAAAGCUCCAUCGCUCUUCACCAUCAGUUCAACCCUAAGUUUCAGACCUUGUUCCAACCCUGUAACCUGACUGGAGCCAUGAAGCUCAUUGAAGAUUUCAACACACAUGUCAGCAUUGAUUGGAGUCCUCGCAAAACUGUCAAGACGGCCUGUAAAUUUCCCUGUUUACCAAAGCAAGUGGCUUGGAUCCUGGCCACAAGCAAGGUUUUCAUGUAUCCAGAGCUACUUCCAGUGUGUUCCCUGAAGGCAAAGAAUCCCCAGGAUAAGAAUUCAUUCACCAAGGCUGAGGACAAUUUGUUAGUUUUAGGACUAAAGCACUUUGAAGGGACUGAGUUUCCUAAGCCUCUAAUCAGCAAGUACCUUCUAACUUGCAAAACUGCCCACCAACUGACAGUGAGAAUCAAGAACCGCAGCAUGAACAGAGCUCCUGACAAUAUUUUCAAAUUUUACAAGAAGACCAAACAGCUGCCCGUCUUCGGGAAGUGCUGUGAAGAGAUCCAGCCACAUCAGUGGAAGCCACCUGUAGAGAGGGAAGAACACCGGCUUCCAUUCUGGUUAAAGGCCAGUCUGCCAUCCAUCCAGGAGGAAAUGCAGCACAUAGCUGAUGGUGCCAGAGAGGCAGGAAAUGUGACUGGCACCACUGAGAUCAAGCCGGACCCAGAUGUAGGAAAAACCAGCUUGGAAUUGGAGAGUGAGACUCGGUACCCGCUGCUCCUGCCUAAGGGCGUGGUCCUGAAACUGAAGCCGGUUGCCAACUGUUUUUCCAGGAAGGGCUGGAGACAGAAGCGGUCAUCAACCUUGAAGCCCCUCCUUAUCAGACCCAGCCCCUCUCUCCAGCCUACCUUCAAUUCUGGGAAAAUACCGCCUAGGUCAACUCAGUCAGAAGCCCCUCCAAGCAAAAUGGUGGUCCGGAUUCCUCAAACGAUCCAGCCAGCCACCGUCUUACAGACGGUGCCAGCUGUCCCUCAACUGAGGGUCACUGGAGGUGAUAGUUUUGAGUCCUCAACAGUAUUGCCUACUAUACCACCCGAGGCCAGGACCAGCUUCCCUCUGUCCGAGCCCCAGACCUUGUUCUCCUCUGCUCCUGUGCCCAAGAUAAUGCUGCCCUCACUUGCCCCUUCUAAGUUCCGAAAGCCAUAUGUGAAACGGAGAGGCCCAAAGAAAAAGGGGACCAAGGCCUCUCUCUGUCUGAAGUCUGUCCCCCUCAUCAACUCUGCACCUGUUAUCUUCACUGUUCCUGCCGCCACUGUGAAGGUUGUGAGCCUUGGCAGUGGCUGCAACAUGAUUCAGCCUGUCAAUGCGACUGUGGCCCCGAGCUCUCAGGCCCUUCCCAUCACCACACUCCUGGUUAACCCUACUUCCUUCCCGUGUCCAUUGAACCAGCCCCUUGUAGCCUCCUCCAUCCCACCCUUAAUUGUUUCUGGCAACUCUGUGAAUCUUCCUGUACAGUCCGCCUCUGAAGAGAAGGCCCAAGUGAGUAUGGAUGUUGGUUGUCCUUUGGAUGAAGGGAAAAAUGCCUUUCCAGGCCUGGUACCCAAAUUAGAACCCCAGGACCUAUCUCCUCUCUGUGCCCCUGUCUUCCCCAAAAAGGAGCACAGCCCAGGACCUCUACCAUCAGACGGAGUGUGCCCGGAAGACUUGUCAGAAAACAGUGCCUAUAUCUGGACUGUUGUGAAAACAGAGGAGGGGAGGCAAGUUGUGGAACCACUGCCUCAGGGCUUCCAAGAAUCUCUAAGCUCUCCUCCUGAAAAUGCAGAGAAAAUUGUCAAGAUGGAACCUAACGAUCCUGGGGAGGAAGUCCCCCGGGCAUCCCCGAAGCACACCAUUUAUGAUGACGUCAAAGAAGAGUACUCUGUGGAAUUGGACACUGGCUUCCCAAGUGAGGAGUCAAGUGGUGGAAGAGAAGCAAAGAAACAGACAGUCUUACAGAAGGAGGAGGAGAGGAACCAACUAGCGAAAACCCCGUCAGCUUCUCAAGAGCCUCCUGAUGGAGGAAACUCAGGAAAUGUGAGCAAAGAAUCGCCAAAGAAUGCUUCAUCCUCCGUUGACCCUGACACGGUGCCGAGCAGCCUCCCCGGGAAACCGGAAGACGUACUCAGCAUCGAUGGUCAGUUAGCAGGGACCCCAGCGAGGCCAGAAACGGGAGGAGAGAAGGAUGGGCCCGAGGAAGAGGAGGAAGAGGACUUCGAUGACCUCACCCAGGACGAGGAAGAUGAGAUGUCCUCGGCUUCUGAGGAGUCUGUGCUGUCUGUCCCAGAGCUCCAGGAAACAAUGGAGAAACUGACCUGGCUCGCAUCUGAAAGGCGCAUGAGUCAGGAGGGUGAGUCUGAGGAAGAGAACUCUCAGGAAGAGAACUCUGAGCCUGAAGAAGAGGAGGAGGAAGAAGCAGAAGCAGAAGGAAUGGAAAGCCUGCAGAAAGAGGAUGGAAUGACAGAUGAAGCCAUAGGAGACCUUGCUGAGAAACCUCCCACUACCUUCGCCUCACCCCAAACUGCUCCAGAAGAGACCAGCAGGACCCCAGCAGGAGAGAGCAUCAAAGCUUCUGGAAAGGGCCGGAGCAAUCAUCGAGCUCGGAAUAAGAGGGGCAGUCGGGCCCGAGCCAGCAAGGACACCUCCAAACUGCUGCUGCUGUAUGAUGAGAACAUUCUCGAGCGGGAUCCACUCAGAGAGCAGAAGGAUUUGGCCUUUGCUCAGGCUUAUCUGACUAGGGUACGAGAAGCCCUGCAACAUAUCCCUGGCAGGUAUGAGGACUUCCUUCAGGUUAUCUAUGAAUUUGAGUCAAGUACUCAGAGGCAGACGGCUGUGGAUCUCUACAAAAGCCUGAAAAUUCUUCUCCAAGACUGGCCUCAGCUGUUGAAGGACUUUGCUGCUUUCCUGUUGCCCGAGCAAGCUCUGGCCUGUGGAUUAUUUGAGGAGCAGCAGGCUUUUGAGAAGAGUCGCAAGUUUCUCCGGCAGCUUGAAAUUUGCUUUGCGGAAAACCCCUCACAUCACCAGAAGAUUAUCAAGGUCCUCCAAAGUUGUGCAGACUGCCUGCCCCAGGAGAUUACUGAGCUCAAGACACAGAUGUGGCAUCUCCUCAAGGGCCACGACCACCUGCAGGAUGAGUUCUCCAUCUUCUUUGACCAUCUGCGCCCAGCAGCUAGCCGGAUGGGUGACUUUGAAGAGAUCAAUUGGACUGAAGAGAAGGAAUAUGAGUUUGAUGGCUUUGAAGAAGUGGCACUGCCUGAUGUGGAAGAGGAAGAGGAACCUCCCAAGAUACCCACAGCCCCAAAGAACAAAAGAAGAAAGGAGAUUGGGGUACAGAAUCAUGACAAGGAGACUGAGUGGCCAGAUGGCGCCAAGGACUGUGCCUGUGCAUGCCAUGAAGGAGGUCCUGAUUCCAAACUGAAGAAGAGCAAAAGGAGAAACUGCAGCCACUGCAGCAGCAAGGUCUAUGACAGCAAAUCCUACAAGAGCAAGGAGCCCCAUGAGUUGGUGGGUGGCAGCCCCCACCGAGAGGCCAGUCCUAUGCCUGGUGCUAAGGAAGCUGGGCAGGGCAAGGAUGUGAUGGAGGAGGAAGCCCCAGAGGAACGAGAAACCACUGAGGCAACCCAGAGCAGGACUGGCAGGAGUACCCGAAAGGGAGAGAUGCCCAUUUCAGGAUUGGCAGUGGGGAGCACUUUGCUGUCCCCUCAAGAAGUGAUUCUUACAGAACGGCAGCUCCUCCUGGAUGGCCCACCGCCCAGCUCACCAGAGACUCCUCAGCUUCCCUCCAACACUGGAGUUGUUCUAGACACCAGGACAGACCAGGUCAAACCGGAGGCUUCCUGCUGCACGGAGCUCCCCAGGCUUCAGGAUGAGGGGGAGGGCCAUCAGGCAGCAGGUGACGCAGAGUCUUCCACGCCGGUCUGCGAUGCUUCAGAAACUCAGUGUCCUGGAACUCUGGAGCCCCCUGCUUCUUUCCCGAGUCCUGUUUCCUCCAGGACCAGAGACUUGGGGAGAGGACAGGUGUCUGGGAAACCAGAUACUCAAGAGAGCUGGCUGCCUUCCAGCAGAACUGGUAUGAAGACAUCAGACAGGAAGUCCUCAGUCCUUGAAUCUUCAUCAAGAAUUGACACCUCAGAGACUUCUCCCAAAACCCCUAAAGGAGGUUUGGCUAAAGACAGUGGAGUACAGGUCAGGGGUCCAGAAGGGGAGCAGCAGCCAAAGGCCACGGAAGUCACCGUAUGUGCGAACAACAGCAAGGUCAGCUCCACCGGGGAAAAGGUGGUCCUGUGGACACGGGAAGCUGACCGUGUGAUUCUCACCAUGUGCCAGGAACAAGGAGCACAGCCCCAGACUUUUCGAAUCAUCUCCCAGCAGCUAGGAAAUAAGACUCCUACUGAGGUAAGUGGGCGGGGGGAGUCCUCGACAGUUUCAAAUCCAGGAGAGGCAGGAAGAGGACAGGCUGGCCGACUAAGAGGAGGUUUCCCACCGUUUUCGAGAACUCAUGCAGCUCUUCCACACCGCCUGCGAGGCCAGCUCGGAGGAUGAAGACGAUGCAACCAGCACCAGCAAUGCAGACCAGCUCUCUGACCAUGGGGAUCUUCUGUCUGAGGAGGAGCUGGAUGAGUGAGACUCAGGAAGCAUGUGGGAGAUUCCAUAAGGCUGUCACCAUGCUGGUAGCACUGGGCCAGACUGCACAGCUCCUGCAGCAGCUCCCCUAGGUCAUCCAGUUCCACCCCAGCGUCCAUGAAGCUGGCCCAGCGCCGCAGGUUGAGUUUGGUGAGUUCCUUGGCCAAGUCUCCCAGGGUCCGGUUCAAGGAUGAAGAGGAGCAGAGGGCCCCGAGCACUGGGAUGCUCUCCCCUGCCGCAGAGGGAGAGAAAAGAGACCUGUAGUCAGAUGGUUCCUUCACCCUGAGUCUGCCGUAUCGAUAGGGAAGUCUGGGUCUUUAGUUGACUUGAUUAUAAAGUAAACUCAAUAAAUUUUGUGUACUGUCCCCUUAGUAUACCAGUACUCCAGAGGAAGAAAAGUCUUUGGGAACCAUCGAAUGAAUAAAGAAAUGUUGGACUGUGACUUUAAAGUAUCUUUA